GAAAAAGCCCUAUUUAGGGCUACAAAAAAGUUUGUUAUCGAAUUAAU
rfam:Picea glauca, whole genome shotgun sequence.